CCUCUAAUGGCGUAGUGGUUAACGCGCCCCAACUAGAGAUCGGGGAGUCGUGAGUUCGAUUCUCACUGAGAAGA
rnacentral:tRNA from 1 species